GAUGAACGCUAGCGGCAGGCCUAAUACAUGCAAGUCGGACGGGAUUUGGGAGCUUGCUCCUAAUGAGAGUGGCGCACGGGUGCGUAACACGUAUGUAACCUACCUUAGUCAGGGGGAUAGCCUCUCGAAAGAGAGAUUAAGACCGCAUAACAUUAUUGAGUGGUAUCAUUUAAUAAUCAAAUAUUUAUAGGACUAAGAUGGGCAUGCGGAACAUUAGCUAGUUGGUAGGGUAACGGCCUACCAAGGCUACGAUGUUUAGGGGAUCUGAGAGGAUGGCCACCCACACUGGUACUGAGACACGGACCAGACUCCUACGGGAGGCAGCAGUAAGGAAUAUUGGUCAAUGGGCGGAAGCCUGAACCAGCCAUGCCGCGUGCAGGAAGACGGCCCUACGGGUUGUAAACUGCUUUUAUACGGGAAUAAACCUACUUACGUGUAAGUAGCUGAAUGUACUGUAAGAAUAAGGAUCGGCUAACUCCGUGCCAGCCGCCGCGGUAA
rnacentral:rRNA from 1 species